rnacentral:rRNA from 1 species
GACGAACGCUGGCGGCGUGCCUAAUACAUGCAAGUCGAGCGGAUCUCGAGGAGCUUGCUCCUUGAGAUUAGCGGCGGACGGGUGAGUAACACGUGGGCAACCUGCCUGUAAGACUGGGAUAACACCGGGAAACCGGUGCUAAUACCGGAUAAUUCUUUCCCUCACAUGAGGGGAAGCUGAAAGUCGGUUUCGGCUGACACUUACAGAUGGGCCCGCGGCGCAUUAGCUAGUUGGUGAGGUAACGGCUCACCAAGGCAACGAUGCGUAGCCGACCUGAGAGGGUGAUCGGCCACACUGGGACUGAGACACGGCCCAGACUCCUACGGGAGGCAGCAGUAGGGAAUCUUCCGCAAUGGACGAAAGUCUGACGGAGCAACGCCGCGUGAGUGAUGAAGGCCUUCGGGUCGUAAAACUCUGUUGUUAGGGAAGAACAAGUAUCGGAGUAACUGCCGGUACCUUGCCGGUACCUAACCAGAAAGCCACGGCUAACUACGUGCCAGCAGCCGCAGUAAUAC